AUUACCCGCUGGCGCCACAGUGCCCAACUGCCCACCCUAGCUUUACCUCUGCCUAACGCCGCCGCCGUCGCCGCCUCCCAGCGUGCACCUUCCUCAGCGCCGCCGCCCGUGUCCUCCAUUAGCGCCACCGCCCCUCGACGCUCGCCUGCUCCACCGCCUUCACCUUUCUACUCGACCUUGCCGGCCACCCAACAGCUCCUAAAGCCACCGCCCAGUGGAGCCACCCCCGCCGCCGCCGCCGCCUUGCCCUUACGGUGGCCACCUAUUCGCCGGAAUAAUUAGUGGUGAGAAUGGGACACUCAAUCGCGUCUUCCAGUAUGUCUGCCCUCCGAUCUGGCGCACGGUGAGCUCGGGACGAACCCUAGCUUCAUGGCUCCCCUUGCCUGCCGGGGUUCCUCCACCUUGCUACUCCGAUGAGUGGUGUUCGGUCUCAGCUCCAUUCCGGGCCGCCCAACCGGCUGUGCAGCGACAGUUUGACAAGCGUAUCCACAUUCCUUUACCUGACUCGCAAGCAAUGCAGCAUAGGUUUAAGGUCCAUCUAGUGGAUACAGCACACAGCUGAUCGGAAAGUGACUUUGAGGUCUUGGGUUGUCGGACAGAUGGAUUUUCUGGUUCCGUCAUAAAGAAGUUCUGUUCAGAAAGGUUGUCAUGAUCCUUUGCAAUCCAUUCAGGUGAAAGAUGUGUUGUUUGAGCCCUCGCGCAAGACACAGGAUGUAAUGUUCUUCUUUUAGACUGAUGGUGGCACUGUCCAGACUACGAUCCAGGAGCUUGCAUCCAAAGGCGCCUGAUCGCAUCACAGAUUCUUUCACCCCUGAUCCCAGUGACUGAUGUCAAGAAAGUCCUCGCUGGCAGAGGCCGGCCGUUGGCAAGACAGACCUGGAGGUACACGAGAAGUUCAGGUGACAGUUCAGCAAGGAGGGUUGAUUCGCUGCAAGUACUCUCUGAACUCAAUAAGUGUAUUAAAGAGAACGAUUCUUAAGGUGGGGAGUCCUUGUGGUGUAGCUUGAUAGUAGUUGUUUUCAGUUUCUCUGAUUUUCCUUUGUGUAACUUUUGUUGUGCCCUUAGGUCAUAAUUAGUUUGGCAUCUAAAACUACUUUUUACUCUUUUCGACGGCGUGUGUUAACGUCAGUUUUGUGCCGGGCUACCUGCAACGAGACCUGAAUCAUGUAAGCUCCACUUGACAGCUGAAUUAUACGUUGUCCUGUGGAUUCAGUGGUA